UCAAAAGCGGAGGAAAAGAAACCAACCGGGAUUGCCUUAGUAACGGCGAGUGAAGCGGCAAAAGCUCAAAUUUGAAAUCUGGCGUCUUCGACGUCCGAGUUGUAAUUUGAAGAAGGCGACUUUGUAGCUGGUCCUUGUCUAUGUUCCUUGGAACAGGACGUCAUAGAGGGUGAGAAUCCCGUGUGGCGAGGAUCCCAGUUAUUUGUAAAGUGCUUUCGACGAGUCGAGUUGUUUGGGAAUGCAGCUCUAAGUGGGUGGUAAAUUCCAUCUAAAGCUAAAUAUUGGCGAGAGACCGAUAGCGAACAAGUACAGUGAUGGAAAGAUGAAAAGAACUUUGAAAAGAGAGUGAAAAAGUACGUGAAAUUGUUGAAAGGGAAGGGCAUUUGAUCAGACAUGGCGUUUGCUUCGGCUUUCGCUGGGCCAGCAUCAGUUUUAGCGGUUGGAUAAAUCCUCGGGAAUGUGGCUCUGCUUCGGUAGAGUGUUAUAGCCCGUGGGAAUACAGCCAGCUGGGACUGAGGAUUGCGACUUUUGUCAAGGAUGCUGGCGUAAUGGUUAAAUGCCGCCCGUCUUGAAACA
rnacentral:rRNA from 1 species